AGAGUUUGAUCAUGGCUCAGGAUGAACGCUAGCUACAGGCUUAACACAUGCAAGUCGAGGGGCAGCAUGUUGGUUGCUUGCAACCAACGAUGGCGACCGGCGCACGGGUGAGUAACGCGUAUCCAACCUACCCUUGUCCAUCGGAUAACCCGUCGAAAGGCGGCCUAACACGAUAUGCGGUUCACGGCAGGCAUCUAAGGUGAACGAAAUGUGAAGGAGAAGGAUGGGGAUGCGUCUGAUUAGCUUGGUUGGCGGGGUAACGGCCCACCAAGGCUACGAUCAGUAGGGGUUCUGAGAGGAAGGUCCCCACAUUGGAACUGAGACACGGUCCAAACUCCGUACGGAGGCA
rnacentral:rRNA from 1 species